UAAGAAGUUCGAGAUUGAUAACACCGAGACAGAUGGGCCAUUGAUUCUAAUAGGUUUGAAAAACUCAGGAGUUCAUCUCCAGGAUAUGGCAUGGAAUGUCACCAAAUAAUGAACUCCAGAGGCCUACCAAAAGAACUGUUCACCCACAUCACAGCCACAGAAUUUCUGUCAUUGCUACCCAGAGCAGUUUGAGACAGAAAACAGCUGAAGCCAACAGUAAGUGGGCGGGCCGGAGGUGAAUCAGCAGCUAAAUUUGUAAUCGCUCUCUUUCACACACACACACACACAC